GGCCUUCAACCAAAGAGCUGGGCCAUCCGUGGCAAUGCCUCCCAGGCUUGGGAGCUGGGAAAAGGCCCCAGGAGCUAGGGCAUCCUGAUUGUUCUUUCAAAGAAAUCCCUCUUGUUCUUAGUCAACAUGCUGGAUACCAGCUAAAAAAUGCAAAAUGAUCUUCAGGCAGGGAUGGCACAGGACCCUUGCUGAGCUGUGAAGCCUGGCUGUGAGGAUUCCUGCAUGGAAACAUCAACAUGUUGCCAGAUUGGUAUACGACUCAACACCACACUGACAUGCUGCUCCCAAACAGUGCCUUUGAAUCAAGACCCAGUCAUCGUAUUCGAAGAAAAAGGAAAUAUCCCUGACCAUGUUGGGACUUAACACUGCUUCACAGAGCUAAAACAUCCUUGGGCAUUACAUAUGAAACCAACAUACAAAGACUGUAAAAGUUGAAGAGAAGAAGGCAGAUAAGCUAGAGACUUUAGGACCCACAGAACAACGUGGUGGCAAGUUCCCUGGGCUUUCUUUUUGCCUCAUAUACCCCAGACCUGAAGCUGAAGAAGACAGCACCCUGGAAUGGUCACUGGAUAUAGAUGAAAACGACAAUAAUAACAAGUUGCUGUUUCUAGCCAAAGUGAUGGCAGCACAUGAUGGAUGCAGCAGGGAGGCUCGGCUGGGGCUGCACACUCCAUGGAGCCAGUAGAAGCCCCAUCCCUUCUGAGUUGGGGCAGGAGCUCCUAGGGUACUGCUGCAGCUGCCCAAACCACAGGCUGCAGACCCAAACUGCAGCUGUAGCCACCCAAACUGUGGCUGUGAAUCCGAGCUUCUCUGUGCUCUUGGGGGGAACCGGUAGUGGGCGGGAUCUGCCCUCCUGGGUGCCCAACCCACGGCUGCAGACCUGGGCCUCCCAUUCCACAGAGUAUACAGGAGCUGGGGACAAGUGGAAGCCCUGCCCCUUCCGAGUUUGCAGAGCAGAAGCUCCCCGAGUGCUGCUGCAGCAGCCCUCCCAGGAGCAAGGCCUGGGCAUCUCUGCAGCCUGUGUCCUCAGGGCCCAGGAAGGGUUUCCCAAUCCCUGUAGGCUCAGAGGUGUCUGCUCCUGUUGUCUGGCCUCUCUCCUUUCCCUGUGCCAGCUCCAGUCUUGGAGCAGGGUUGGCAAUGUGCGCCAGGGGCCAUGAAUGGCAGCAGGAGUCAGCUAGAUCCCUGGGUGGAAAACAAUAGUCCAGGGUAAGGCCUCACCUUCAGGCCAGGGAGAGGCUGAAGGCUGGGGGCUUGACUGCCAGUCCACAGACCAGAAUAGGGAGUUGUAGUGCCUCCUGCUGCCUGCCCGUUGUCACCUGUGGAUCAAUCUGUAUGCACUUCCUCCCCUCUGAGGUCCAUAAAAGCCCCAGGUUCAGCCAGAGCAGGGCAGAGGACAGAGGACAGAGAGAUGACAGGAUGACCAGCCUGCAGAGAGGAGCUACCCUCUCCAGGGCCUCCUCUCUGCUGAGAGCUGAACACUUGACAGGACGACCUGCCUACAGAGAGGAGCUACCCACUGCAGGUCUCCUCUGAGCUGUUCUAACACUAAAUAAAGCUCCUCUUCAUCUUCUUCACCCUUCA
ensembl:lncRNA novel transcript